CUUCUGACUAGAUUUUUAAGCAAAUCCUUUAAAUGGAUAAUUUGCAGCUGGAACACACUUUGUCUCUAAGUCGCGUCCAGCCAUUCGAACGUAAUUUCAGAGUUUUUUGUAAACACAUCUUCGUUAGUGACUGGACAGUGAAUCUAGCAAUUUUUGAGAGUUUUAUGUACAGAUCGGUAAAUCUAGAAACACAUUAUGGGGGGCAGCGAUAUGCAGUUCUGCCUGCGGUGGAACAAUUUUGGCACCACCAUGACCGCAGCACUUCACACACUACACGAGGGCGGGGAUUUUGUUGAUGUCACACUUGCUGCUGAUGGAAUGCAGUUAAAAGCGCACAAGCUGAUUCUUUCAGCUUGUAGUCCCUACUUCAGAGAUAUAUUAAAGAAUAAUCCAUGUCAACACCCGGUGAUAAUUCUCCGAGAAGUGCCCAUAGAAGACUUGGAAGCAGUAUUGGCAUUUAUGUAUGAAGGUCAGGUCAAUGUAUCCCAAACACGGCUUCACACAUUCAUGAAGCUGGCUGAGGCGCUUCAAGUGCGUGGUCUGACAGAUACACAGAAUACCAGAGCACGGAUGGAAAAGGAAGUAUAUCAAAAUUUAGUGCCGACUACAGAAGUAGGAAAUGGCUCCAAUCCAGUUGUGGCGGCAGCAGCUGCAGCAGCAGUGGCCGCAGCAGUGAGCAGUGCAAUAACCAUUCCUGUUGUCUCCCAGUGUACAACACAGGCACCACAGACGAGAUCACGGGCUCAUGAAUCGCCACCACCAUCUUCUAAGCGGAGAAGAUUAUCCCCAGCCCAUGAAAGAAAUUCACCUUUACAUAAUGAAGAAGACAAUAGUUUAGAUGAACAUGCAGACAUUAAAAGAGAUAUUCGUAACUUACUAGAAGUAAAGAUGGAGCCAGAUGAAUAUCCAGAAGGAGUAGAUCCAGACGAUGAGAAUGACCAGCCUCCACCACCGCCACCAGAGGUCAGCUUCAUGGAACAACAACCAGAGGUUGUAAGAAAUGUGGGAGGCUCAACAUCCUCUGUGAAUCUACCCACAAUCUUCCUACCUCAGCACACGUCUAGUGAGAAGCCCAGUCACAACAUCUUACCACGACGUAACUCCCACGAGAGAACAUCUGCUGUCAACCUUCAACCAGAAUUUCCUCAAGACCCAUCUUGCCAAAACCUGCCAUAUCCGUGCCCAUUCUGUGAAAAGGCAUACACUUCAUGGGGCUUCAGAAGGCGGCAUAUUAAGGGAUAUCACACGUCAUCCCCAGAGCUACCGUGCAAGUGGUGUUUCACAGUCCUCCCUUCACACCAAGAUUGGGCGUUUUCAGAAUCCCAGGAUGAGAGAAAGGAUAAUUGAUCUUAAUUCCCUAAAAGACAUUCCCUCGGGAAGACCCGCAGUUGGGGAUGCAGGUGACCUGGUCUGGAGGUCAAGAUGAAUAAGAAGACUUGAUUCCAGGAGAGCAACUGUAUUGGUUGCCGAGAUGAGCAUGUGACCAGAAGACACAACCUAGCCGUGGGAGAUGCACGCAAUGGUUUACUAAUCUUGGAAGAAGCCCACAUGGUACUCCAAAUAGCCCAACCUACACGAAUUGAUUCCUUGAUGGAACUUAUAAAAAA
rnacentral:misc_RNA from 1 species